GAAAGCUUAGGAGAGGGUUUCUAUGAAGUCCUAGCAUAAUGAAGGUUAGUUUUGACGAUUUCUACCAUUAAACAUUGCCCCCGUGCCUAGAAACGUAAUCCCUACACGUGGCAAUCGUUUUUCCCUUCUAUUUGCUGCGUUUGGAGCUGGUUUUUGAAGAUAUAAAUUUGUAAUUAUUGGUGUUUCUUCAAGGUUUUAACUUGGUUAACUAAGGUGCGUACCAGCUGUGUAUAUAUAGUGUUUGCGAAGCUUAGGACAUAAGGAACAACUUUCGUGAAGGAACUAUGGUCUUUCGAGCGUUCAUUGGAAAGGUCCUGACAAACGACUGAGUAGACCUCCUCAGCAGCAGGAUUGACUUUUAUCCGGUUGGCUAGCCCC